rnacentral:sRNA from 1 species
AUCACUUGAGCACAGGAUGUGCUGCAUCAGAUCACGGAUGAUUGAUUAGCCAGGAUGGCUGCUCUGCAGGAUGCAGAGAGAGUGAGUAAAAAACCCCGCUUCGGCGGGGUUUU